CAGCCGCCGCGGGAAUACGUAGGUGGCAAGCGUUGUCCGGAAUUAUUGGGCGUAAAGGGCUCGCAGGCGGUUUCUUAAGUCUGAUGUGAAAGCCCCCGGCGCAACCGGGGAGGGUCAUUGGAAACUGGGAAACUUGAGUGCAGAAGAGGAGAGUGGAAUUCCACGUGUAGCGGUGAAAUGCGUAGAGAUGUGGAGGAACACCAGUGGCGAAGGCGACUCUCUGGUCUGUAACUGACGCUGAGGAGCGAAAGCGUGGGGAGCGAACAGGAUUAGAUACCCCAGUAGUCCCUGUCUCUUAUAC
rnacentral:rRNA from 1 species